ensembl:antisense
GCACAGGGCGGCAGAGUGACAAAGCCACGGCUGCCUCCACCCGAAGUGGGAGUGGGAGUGAGAGUCCCUCUUACCAGCCCUCAACUAGGGAGAGCGUAAAAGUUUGUCUCAAGCGUUCCGAGCGCCCCAAGGUAAAGGUGGAAGUAAAUGGCCAAGUUGUAUGGAAAGAGGUGGCCAUGGAAUGGUGUAGCAGAUUGCUGCAGAUGGUUUCAAUAGUUCUGCUGAAUGCUCCUUGUUUGUGCCUGCAAGAGGAACUCAAGGCUUUAUGUAUGGCCAUUGCUGUGACCUAGUGUGAUGCUCUACUUUUCCACUGAACUCUGCUUGCUCUAACUGAGGACCUUAGCUAUAAUUUAGCCUUUUCUUUUUAUAUUAAGCUGUUGUUGAGGAAGGAGCUUUGGCAAUAGAAGAAACCAAGCAG